AGAGAGAAUCAGGCCCCUUUCUAGAUGGCCUUCUAGGGGCCUGCUGCUCCCACCCUGGCCGUCAGAGCCCAUCUGCCCACUGGCUGAAGCCGGAUCCUCUCCCCACGGUCUCUGCUCAGCUGUUAGCAAAUCUUGGCGUAUGGCAGCCCAAUUGAGAGCUAAGAGGUCUGACCAGAUUUCCCAGGUGACCUCUGAACCUGCUUCCCCUGCUGUUGGGACUUGGGGUGAUGCCUAAGUCUGACCUUUCAGCCCAGCCGGCUGUGAUCGGGAUCUCUGGGAAGAGGUCCUCGUGUUCAGAUGGGUCCUGUAGGAUGCGGUACCUGUCCAGGGACCGGCACAGACAGAGCUAGGGAGCACUACUCUGUAGCAUUUGCCAGUUUUCCUGGCCUCAAUGCUCCUGGGAUGGACAACUUAAACUACCAAUGGGAAGUGAGCUAGCUGCCACAUAGUUCCGGAAAAACUGGAAAGCAGCAUUGCCAAGCAAAGAGGAGAAAGCUUUAGUACUUUCUCUAAGACCCUUUCCAGAGAGAUGGGGAGAGGCAGGGAGUCUAAGGUUUAAGCAGAGAACCCACUGGUUGACAGGGGAGGGAGGAAAGGCAGGCUUCCAGCCCCAUCUUCUAAAUACCCUUCUCCCCCCAAACACCCCAGUGAGAAACUCUCUGAGCUUCAUGGCCCGACUGUUCCUUCAGCUCUAGCUGCUUAACAUCUUGCCCGAGCUCUGUAUCUGGCACAUUAAUGUAGGUGGUGUCCCCUCUCCUGGCCCACUUCCUCUGCCUUUAGAAACAGAUGCCAGAAAUCCAUUCUUACCACCCUGACUCCCCCAGCAAUGGUUGCUAUAGACCAAUAAACCAGAUGUCACACCGAUCUUCCACUAGCUCCCAGGAGGUUCCUUUAUCCUCAGUUUCCCCAUCUGUGAGAUGGGCAGCAAGUGCUAGCCUAGCCAAAGCCCUUUCACUGAUAAGACUCUGAGAUUUCCGUCACUCUUUGUUCCAGCCUCAAUGGUAGCUCCUUUCUCAAACAUGUCCCCAGCCUCUCAGACCCUCCAUGCUGUAGCGGCCCCCCACUGCCUCUGGCUCCCCAGGCUCCCCGAUAAGGGGCCCAACUAAUUACAUUAGGAUUUCAUGCCAAUUAGCAAACAAUUACACGGGCAAAUUGGUGCCUAAUUUGGAGCAAUAACAACAGUUCCAUUGGCUGGGGAGAAAGAUAGCUGCAGAUGAGACUGUUUACCCCACCCUCGCCCUAGAGGACCCCGGGAGGAUGGAGCUUCCCACCCUACCCCGGACCAGUGACUCGGCUCUUCCACUGGGAUCCUUAAGCAACUGUUCAUGGUGGUUACAUGGUCCACCCAGGCCUUCACUAAGAAAGAAAAGAACUAAACAGUUAUGGCGGGCUUCACGGAGGAGGUGGGGAGGCAGGAGGGAAGACGGCCUCGGCGAGGUGAGGGAGAAGACAAUAAUUAAUAUGAGCAAAAGCCUAGGUGUGGAAAUGAGCCAACUGCGGAACACUGUUGAUCAGAGCACAGGAUGGGGUGGGGGCAAGACUUCAGAGGUACAGAGAAACAGAUGGGGACCACUGUUGCAGGACAUUUUCUUGGAGACCUAUGGGAGCCACUGAGGGUUCAAAGAGGGAAGGAAGAGGAGGCUGAGACUCAUCUCGGAUCACCAGCAAUCACGUAGCCCAUCGUCAGAUUCAUGGAGCAUGGGCCAGUCUCCCUUCUUCCCAUCCCUAAGUUUCUCAUUCCUUCAGCCCCCAGACCUAAAUGUGCUUCCAACUACACACCUGAGUGAGGCUGAGUGGGUGCGUUGCAUGCGCGUGUGUGCAUGCAUGCAUAUGCAUGUGCACAUGUGUGAGUGCAUGUGCAUGCAUGUACAUGUGCACCCACACACACAUCAUGAUAUGCAUGUGGCAUGUGGAGGGCAGAGGACAGCUUUCCACCUCAUCAAGGUGGGGGUGGGGCGGGGUCUCUCUUGUUCCUGUUGCUGUGCAUGUACUCCAGGCUCGCUGACCAGUGAGCUUCCAGAAAAUCCCCGUCUCCACCUCUCGUUUACCUAUUAGAGAGCUGGGCUCACAAAUGUGGACUAUGGCAUCAGGCUUUUUAUUAUAGGUUCCGGGAAUCCAAACUCAGGUUGUGGCAAGCACUUUUGCUAAGCCAUUUCCCUGCCCCUCCCUCCCACGCCAAUUCUUACCCAUGUCUCUUCUGAGCCAUCACUUUGGUCCCAGAUCCAACCCUGGUCUUUGGUUUAAAGCCUCCAUGACUCCCUCGUGCUGUCAGAACAGGUUCAAGCGUUUGCUCUCUACACGCCUGACCUCCGCCUGGUCCCUGGGGACUUCCAGCAUCCUCUUUAUCCUUCCUCCCUUGUGCUCCAGGAAUGCCUUGUACAAACUGGGCCAGGCUCAAACCCCUCUUUGCGUCCCGACUGCUCCCUGGGCCCAGGCUGCUUGCCAAUAGCCCUGGCUUGUCAGCAAGUGCGGCUCCCUGGCCCCUCCUCCAGCUCCUCCACAUCCUCCCCAGCUCCAUCCUCCUCUCCUCUGGGCUCACUGUAGAAGCCUUCUUCUGCACCCUGGUCACUUGUAGCCAAGCUGUGUGCAUUGGGCUCUCCAAGUCCCAGGAGUUGAGCUGUUCAGGGACAAAGUGUGGAGCUGACAGUAUCACCCCUGAAUGACCCAGCAUCGAGGACUGGAGAGGACAAUGAGUGGGUCUCAGAGUGUCCCCCGAGGAUAAUGGGGACACUGAGGCAGAGAUCCAGAGAGAAUGUCACAAGUCAAGUUUCUCUUAGGAAGCAGAG
rnacentral:lncRNA from 1 species